rnacentral:rRNA from 1 species
GCAAGUCGAACGAACGGAGGAAGAGCUUGCUCUUCCAAAGUUAGUGGCGGACGGGUGAGUAACACGUGGGCAACCUGCCUGUAAGUUGGGGAUAACUCCGGGAAACCGGGGCUAAUACCGAAUGAUAAAGUGUGGCGCAUGCCACGCUUUUGAAAGAUGGUUUCGGCUAUCGCUUACAGAUGGGCCCGCGGUGCAUUAGCUAGUUGGUAGGGUAAUGGCCUACCAAGGCAACGAUGCAUAGCCGACCUGAGAGGGUG